GAUGAAGAACGUAGUGAACGUGCGAAACGUAAUGUGAAUUGCAGAAUUCAGUGAAUCAUCGUAUCUUUGAACGCAUCUUGCGCUCCUUGGUAUUCCGAGGAGCAUGCCUGUUUGAGUGUCGUGAAUACUCUCAACUUCAACCCUUUUUUCGGAAAGGGAGGAAGGUUGGACUUGGGUGUUUGUUGAAGUGCGAGCUUCGACUCAUCCUAAAUGCAUUAGCGAUCUGCCUCGAUCACACACAAUGUGAUAAUUAAAACUAAAGCAUUGUUUAAUGAUCAAGUCGAGACUGCUUCUAACUGUCGCAAGACAAUAACGUGCAUACAUUUGUGCAUGUCAUUUGACCUCAAAUCAGGUAGGACUACCCGCUGAACUUAAGCAUAUCAAUAAGCGGAGGA
rnacentral:misc_RNA from 1 species